rnacentral:rRNA from 1 species
GUGGGGUAAUGGCCUACCAAGGCAAUGACGGGUAGCUGGCGUGAGAGCGCGACCAGCCACACUGGGACUGAGACACGGCCCAGACUCCUACGGGAGGCAGCAGUAGGGAAUCUUGCGCAAUGGGCGAAAGCCUGACGCAGCAACGCCGCGUGGGGGAUGAAGGCCCUCGGGUUGUAAACCCCUUUCAGCAGGGACGAAAAUGACGGUACCUGCAGAAGAAGCCCCGGCCAACUACGUGCCAGCAGCCGCGGUAAUACGUAGGGGGCAAGCGUUGUCCGGAUUUAUUGGGCGUAAAGAGCUCGUAGGCGGUUCGGUAAGUCGGGUGUGAAAAUCCAAGGCUCAACCUUGGGACGCCACCCGAUACUGCUGUGACUAGAGUCCGGUAGAGGAGUGUGGAAUUCCUGGUGUAGCGGUGAAAUGCGCAGAUAUCAGGAGGAACACCUGCGGCGAAGGCGGCACUCUGGGCCGGUACUGACGCUGAGGAGCGAAAGCAUGGGGAGCAAACAGGAUUAGAUACCCUGGUAGUCCAUGCCGUAAACGUUGGGCACUAGGUAUGGGAUUCUAUCAACGGAUUCCGUGCCGUAGCUAACGCAUUAAGUG